CAAGCUUCUUUACAAUUUGGCCUGGCUCCACACGCGAUGGUGGUGGCGGCGACAGGGUUGGUGUGGUGUUACUAAGCGUGUUUGCGGUGGAACGGGUGUAGUUUUCUGCCAGAAUGGCGUGAGAAAGACACAAAGCGGCCAGGAAAAAACGGAGGCCAGGCAGUGACCAAAAUCUUCCAUUCCUCCCACGAGCAGCUAGGCUAGGCCGAGGUUUCGGGAGGCUCCUAGACUGGGCAAAAGGCCCUCGGUUGCAGUGGCCAGUGGUUGGCAAGGAGGGACUCUGCUUCUUUCGCCAGCCAAUGGCCGCUGCUUGGUUCGAAGGUUUCGAGAGCUGCCUCCUUGGCUGAAGGAAGGGGACGCGUUAAUGAUUGUUGGGGAAGUACAGUCAGCGCCUUUGGCAGAAGCGGAGGAGCUGGAGCCGCGUUCAGAAAAGCGGGUUGGGACGCUCAGGGCGCGCUCUUGAGGCCCCUUGCAGGCAAUUUGGAAAUUGCUCCUUGGGCCGAAGAAAAAGAGAGACCCGGGGAGCUCAAGAAAACGCGCGGGAAGGACUGGCGGGUCUCUCGAGCUGCCUGUUGAAGGAGGGAGCUGCAGUAAAACCAGAGGGAGACCGGCUUAGGGAAAGAGAACUGUGGCGCCUUUUUCGGAGCGCCCCUCGCCCAGGCGUUCGAGUUGGCCCGGGGAAACGCUACUUCUCCCCCUUGGAAGCAAGAGUACGGAGGUUGUGGUUAGUACUCCGGGGAGGGAGGGAGGGAGGCUGAGGAGUUUCUGACCGCGGCUGCAAAAGUCAUCAGCGACCUCACCAAGCAGCCAUUUCCAGCAACUCCCUGCCGCUGCUCGCCCGGUCCCUGGUUUCUCGGUUAAAUGUUGCUAAACAGGGAUGAACGCCGCCAAGCGUUUGCCUUUCUGCGCGGAGUUAAUUAAAGAUCGUCUUUAUUUUGCCAUUCUGUUCCAUAAACCAAAAAGCGGUAGUACAAGUACACACUAUUUCUGCAUAGAUGAUGAAUUUGUGUAUGAAAACUUCUAUGCAGAUUUUGGCCCACUCAAUCUGGCAAUGAUUUACAGAUACUGUUGCAAGCUAAAUAAAAAAUUAAAGUCUUUUACCAUGUUAAGGAAGAAGAUUAUUCAUUAUUGCAGUUCGGAUCAGAAAAAGCAAGCCAAUGCAGCCUUCCUCAUAGGCUGUUACACAAUAAUAUACUUGAAACAAUCUCCAGAAAGUGUAUACAGGCAUUUACUGUUUGGGAAUGUUUCAUAUCUUCCAUUCAGGGAUGCUGCAUUUGGUACCUGCACUUUUCAUCUAACUCUGCUUGACUGUUUCCAUGCAAUAAGUAAGGCAUUGCAUUAUGGCUUCCUUGAUUUCAAUACAUUUGAUGUAAAUGAAUAUGAGCAUUAUGAAAGGGCAGAAAAUGGAGAUUUCAACUGGAUAAUACCCAAAAAAAUCAUGGCGUUCAGUGGACCUCACUCAAGAAGUAGAAUUGAAAAUGGGUAUCCACAUCAUGCACCCGAAGCCUAUUUUCCAUACUUCAGAAGGCAUAAUGUUACCACUGUAAUCCGCCUGAAUAAGAAAAUGUAUGAUUCUAGAAGAUUUAAAGACACAGGGUUUGACCAUUAUGAUCUCUUCUUUGCUGAUGGAAGUAUACCUAAUGAUGCUAUCAUCAAAGCAUUUCUGAACAUUUGUGAGAAUGCUGAAGGUGCUAUAGCAGUACAUUGCAAAGCUGGACUUGGCAGAACUGGUACACUUAUAGCGUGUUAUAUUAUGAAGCAUUACAGGAUGACUGCUGCUGAAACUAUUGCCUGGAUUAGAAUUUGUAGACCUGGUUCUGUGAUUGGAACUCAACAACAUUUCUUGUUGGACAAACAGUCAGAACUUUGGAUGGAAGGUGAUAUUUAUCGUUCAAAGCUAAAGAAGACUCAAAAGCUUGCAGUUACAAAAAUCCUUUCAGGAGUAGAUGACAUUUCAAUUAACGAUUCAAAAAAUCAGAAUGCCAGCAGAAAAGAUUCUGAACCGUACAGUGAUGAAGAAGAAACACACACAGUAACACAAGGGGACAAGCUCCGUGCCCUUAAAAGUAAAAGGCAGGCAAAAGCAUAUUCAGUUCCAUUAACAUGUCUCCUAGCUAUACUGGCCUCUGCUCUGAGUAGCAUUGUCAUCUGGUGGAUUGUGUGUGGCUCCCUCCUUCCCAACCUGCUAUUCUGUCUAGAUGGUUUAAGAACAUAGGUCCAUCAGAACCUCCCUUGGGAGAGCCACUGUUCUCAUGCCUCAGAGGGAAAGAAGGAAAGGGGAUACUUUACAACAAAAGCGCUUAUGCACAACCCUUAACCCACGAAAGAGAAGUGUGCUACGUUGAACAAUGAAAAUUCAAGAGAAUGCAGAGAGAGAAAAGAGACAUUGUUUUCAAUUAAAGCAUUGAAGAUUGAUUUUUCUUCUUUUAAAAAGUGGUCUAUUUUAACUCUUAUACAAGAGUGUUAAUUUAUUGUCACUACAACAAUGUUUUUUUACUGCUUUAAUAAUGGCCGGUAAAUUUUAGCCUUUUAUCUAAUAUCUCUUUUAUCAAGAGAAUCUUUUUUUUUUACAAUGCUUAGGGAUAAAAUGUGAUGGCAAUCAUUUAAUCUUCUGUCCAACAACUUAUUGGGGGAGUGUAUAUAUUAUUUGUUUGGUGUAUAAAUUUUCAUCCAAAAAUGGUUCUCUUUUAUGAUGGAAACGGAGAAAUUGGGAAAGUGUACUCUUCUUCCCUUCAUCCCCCCAAUAAUAUGAUUGCUUUUUGCAUACAUUAACUAUCCUAAUUGUAUUAGGAUUUUUAUCACAUAUUUCUAAAUUACUAUCCACCAAAGAGUGCUUUAUUUUCAUACAUUUAGUUCUUAGUCUUGCAAAUUAUACCACUGCCUAAAGUGUUACUUACUACUUUUAAUUAACAGAAACAGCUGGGAAGAAUUGUAACAAAUUGUGUGCUGUUGUAAUAUCACAGUCUUAAUUGUUAAGUUAUUAGUGAAUUAAAACCUGUUGUAUCUACUUCAGAUUAUAAUUGGAUAAAAUACACUAGCAAAAUGUGGGUUUCAAAUGUUCUCUAUGUACUGCUUACAAAUUGACUCUCCUUACCAUGAGAUCCUGUUCUCAGGCACCAUUCUUUCCUAACAUUAAAUAUGGCAUAGUACUGAUUCUACUAAUAGUCAGAUAUUUAUUUUAGCUCUGUCUGCAGAAAUAGGUGGUUGAAUUUUCCUCUGUAUGCAAAAUUAGUGGCAUAUCAAUGUUGUGAUUCCAAUGACAUAUCAAUAGGUUGGAUAGGAAAGGAGUUUCAUUUGCCAUUUCUUCAUGUCAUUAAAAUUCAAAGUUUAUAAUUACAGAUAGUCUCGACUUAUGACCACAAUUGAGCCCAAAAUUUCUGUUGCUAAGUGAGACUUUUGUUAAGUGAGUUUUGCCCCAUUUUACGAUCUUUCUUGCCACGGUUGUUAAGUGAAUCUGGCUUCCCCAUUGACUUUGCUUGUCAGAAAGUCGCAAAAGGUAAUCAUAGAACUUGGGACACAGCAACCAUCAUAAACAAGAGCCAGUUGCCAACUGGCCAAAUUUUAAUCAGGUGACCAUGGGGACACUGCAACCAUCAUAAGUCACUUUUUACAAACUGCCAUUGUAAGUUUGAAUAGUCAUUAAACAAAUGGUUGUAAAUUGAAGACUACCUGUAUUCACCUUUCAGUGCAGGAGAGGCAACAGAUCUCUACCGAAAUCUAAAGAUAGACAGUGGACUAUAAUUAUUAACAUAGUUAGUCUUCAAAAGCUAAACAGGAACUGUUAUAAUUAUUCUCGUGUCCCAUUUGGACUUCAAAAUCCUUGCAAGGAAACUUUAGUUAUGGAUAAUGCAGGUCAUCCUGAUGUUGGGUUGUGACUCCUGUUAGCCCUAGCCAACAUGACUGAAGGUAAGAUUUGCUGUCCAAUAUCUGUAAGGAUAAGGGUUGCCCAUCCCUGGUACAGAGGCUUUGCUGUAGCAUACUCUAUAUUUCUGUAGUAAACAAUAUGUAAAAAAAAAUAAAAAAAAUAGAAAAUUCUUGCUGGACCUGAAGCCCAAAAUAUCUGUAGCUAAUCAUACCAGUAAGAAUGUUGGGAUUCUGUCUUGAUUCUGCCUUGUAGGAGUAUUGUUAAAUUUUAGGAAUGUGGCUUUGCUUAAAAAAGUCACAUAGCAGUAGUAUGAAGAGACCUGGGCCAUGUUUUAGGGUUGAUUAGUCAUUUUGAUAUUCACAGCUACUAUAAUAGAUUUAUAAUAUUAAGCCUCUUAUUGAAUUCAAGCAGCUACAGAAGACCCUCUUCUUGAUGAUUUGUUUCCAGUCUGGCUCUUUAGAAAUUUUAUUGAUGCAUUCAUUUCCAUUGUAGAAGAUUCUUAGUCUAUUAUGCUGGUGAUUGUCCUUUUCUAUUUCUGCAGUGUUAUAAACGUCCAAAUGUGUCCAAAAUAUGAUGAUUUGAGUAUAGUCACUUCUGCUUCAAUUGAAAUUUCUGGAUUUAUUUUCUCUGUGAUCCAUUUAUUUGUUUUCUUGGCUACUUAUGAUAUUCUCAAGGAAUCUUCCAGCACCAAAAUUCCCAAGUAUCAGUACCCUUUUUGUCCUGUUUCUUCAAAGUCCAAUGUCUGCUUCCAUAGAGUGUCACAGCCUACAUGAUCCGAUCUUUGUUAGUGUAGACACAUAUUGGCAUCUGUUUUUCAUAAGGACCUCAUUGCUACUCUACCAAGUACUGAUCUGUGGUGUAUUUCUAGACCAGGGGUUCUCAACCUUGGCAACUUUUAAGACUUGUGGACUUCAACUCCCAGAAUUCUGGGAGUUGAAGUCCACAAAUCUUAAAGUUGCCAAGGUUGGGAACCCCUGUUCUAGACAGUUUGUUCCCUUAUUAUUGUCUAUCCUAAAAAGCAAAAGCUAUUCACCAUUUCAUUGCCUAUAUUCAUUGUCAAUUUUAAGGCUGUUUAUUCCAUCUGUUGUCAUUAGUUUAGUCUUCUUUAGUCUUAGUCCCAUUUUUUUCACUGUGUUCAUUAAGUUUCAUUACUAGACUUCUCAAAUCAUUUGCAUUUUCAGCAGAGGGCAAGUUGAUGUUUCUUUUUCCAGUUUUAAAAUCAUGCUCAUCUUUUUUCAGUUCAAUCUCCUUUAUUCAACUUAUAGGUUGAAUAAAUGAGAAAACAGCAUACAGUUUUGUUUGACUUUGAUACCAACCUGGAUCCAGUUUCAUCAUGUUUGCUUCCUAUCCCAUGUAUAGUCUUCACACAAGAACACUGAGGCAUUCUGGAUUCCCUAUUUUCUAAGGCCAUUCUAUAUCUGAUAAUGUUUGAUACAAUUGAAGAACUUUUUUAUAAUCAAUGAAAUGUAUAUUAAUAUUUUUAUAUUCUUUGAUUUUCUGAAUUACCUUGAAGAUACCAACAAUAUCCUUUGGUCUUUAGAUUUUUGCUAAAAAUCUACUUGAACAUCUGUUGUUUCUCUUUCCACAUAGGGCUGUGUUUUGUGCUGGAAGAGCAUAGCAAUACUGUAUGAAAGGUUUGUAUACUCGGUUAAGUCUCCUUUAGUGUUAGUAUCUGCUCCCCAAUAUGUCAUUCUCCAAAUCUGCUGGCAUAAUUUGGAUAGAAUCUUGAUUUAUUCUUCUAUUGCUUACCUUCUAUAAAUAUUCCAUCAGUUCUGGUAGCCUUCCAACUUAAUAAUGACUGGAGUGCUGAUCUAAUUUCAUCUGAUUUUUGUAAAUAAGGAAUGUGUCUAAAGUAUCAUGGAUAUUAACAUCUUUAUUGUACAGAAUUUCAGUAUACUUCUUCCAGCUUUCUUUGAUCCUUUUUGUAUCAGUUACUAUCCAUUGGCAUCAUUUAUGUCCAUUGGCAUCUUUUAGCAUACCAGUUUGGGGUUAGAUUUUUCUUUUGAGUUAAGAGAUCUUUUGGAAGACUUUUCCUUGCUUUUUCUUGUCUCUGUCCAUUUCUGUUACAUAUAUUGUUAUACUAUUGCUUGUCUUUUCUAACAUCUGUCCAAAAUGUGUUAAGUUCUUCCUGAGAUCUUUAUCUUUGGCUUUUUCUCUUGGCAGUUUCUGCUAUUUGUUCUGACAUUCACUAUAGUUUCUUCUAUUUCAUGAUUUUUGACAGUCUCUUUUCGCAUUCAUCCUUAACAACAACAACCUCAUCCUCUGGUCACUAUCAAUGAGGUUCAGAACUUCAAAACAAUUCUGAUGUUCUUGAAAAUGGUGAGUAUAUGCUCAAAAUUGUAUUAUGGAAAUUAGUCAGGUUUUUUCCACUUUAGGUUGACUUGAAACUUGCUUAUGAGCUGCUUGUUCCAUAGUCAUCCUGACCAUUAUUUUGCUAUUAUCAUUCAUCUUUUCUAUCAUUUUAUAUCAGUAACUUAGUCAAAUUGAUUUCUAGGUACUUCAUAUAUUCAUGUAUACAGGCAUUGUUCUGAUUGUUGGAAAAAUGUGUUAGCGUGAAGAUGUUAAUUAGAGAGGCACAAAUAAUAUAUUUUCCUGAUUAAUUUCAGUGUUCUGAACUAUACAGUCCUACUGUAUUUCCUCAAUUUCCUGUGGGGAAACUAAUUGGCUUUGUUGUUACCUAACUCUCGAGUUUCCAGUUUGGCAUUCAGGCAAACUUUAAACCUCAUUAUGAACUCUUCAUCAUAAUUUUUAAUGGGGUGUAAUUUUUUAUUUGCCUUCAUUGCUGAUUUUUUAAAAAGAAUCCAACACAAAUCAAUAUUGGUCAUAACACUUUUUAAUAAGCAGAGAUAAUUCUGUGCAUUCUUGUAUGAAAUUAUUUCAAUAUUUUGUGUUUAUUUUUAAAGAUUUAGGUUGCUUACACCUCGGCUUCUUCACCAUUCAGUUGAAUAGUUCACCAUUUACUUAACAGCAGUUGCAUUAUAGACAAGAGUUCAUUUAUAUUUAUUGGAAUAUGAGUUUUAGAUUGAUUUAAUCUUCUGUUCUACUUUAUCCACCAUGAAAUUGAAUGCCACAUUGUUACAGGUAGUCUUCGACUUAAAACUGUUCCGUUCAGUGACUGUUUAAAAUUAUGAUGGCGUUAAAUGGACUACCUUCCGCCUGAAGUUACCCCAUUGCAGCAUUCCUGCCAUCACGUAAUUGUGACCUGGGCUUUUGCCAAAGUCUCUGCGAUCAUGUGAUUGCCAUUUGCAAUCUUUCGUCCCAGCAUCCUCAGAAAAUCAACAAGGAAGCUGGCAGGGAAGGUUUCAGGUUGCUGCCACGGGACUCACUCUGGUUCCUGAGGGCUGGCUGAAAAAGGUUCAUCAGCACCCAUUUUGGGGCAGCCCAUUUCCACUCUCCAAUGGAAAUGGAGAGUGGAAGAGCUGUCUGCCAGAUUGAUUUCGCUCCCAGCGGGAUGAAGUCCCUUGGCAAAGCAGUCCUUCUGCUCCCAGAGGCUGGCUGGAAAGGUCCAUGCCAAAAACCAAGAAGGAUUUAGUCCGGGUUACUUGCAGCAUGGAGCUCUUAGAGCCAGGCUGGCUCCCAACACUUCAUGCUUCAACAUCUUCCUGUGAAAAUCCCACUUUACCUAAUGCGGGGCAGAAUCCCUUUGUGAAACCAUUGCUCCCAAAGAUGCUGGUUAGAAGAAGUCCUUUCAGAAAGGUAAUAUUUGCUGGCUUUCUAGCCAGAAGGCCAGCAAAUUCAAUGUUUCUAAAGGCUGGCUGGAAGAGCCAGCAUAGCAGUUGUUGAGCAAGGCAGUCGCAUGGGUGCCUUACUCAACAACUGACACGACUUGCGACUGUAAUUGGCUGUCUCCAUUACAGUUGCACAUCAAGGACUAUAUACUGAAAGACUUGCUCACAUACUCUCAGUAAUUGAUUUUGGUCAGCUUUAUAAAUUGCAAUCUACAUUUAACAAAGAAUGUUCUAGGAUCAAAUCUGAUACUAGUUUUGUUCGGUCAGAUGUAUUUCUGUAUUGUUCAUGCUAUUUUAACUAAUAAUAUAGAUACUGGCUUUAUUCUCAGUAGUAUAUCCUAUCUUAAAAUGUUUCCUGUAUUUGUAGAAUUUUCAAGGUAGAGUGAUUUCAAAUCAGCUAAAUUAUUUAAUAAAAACCAUGUAGAUUUUUAAUCACACAUUACUAAAAAUAGCUCCCAUCUAUGUACUAUUAUUUUAAAUAUCGAAUUAGCCUCAUUGUUCAAUAUUUGAAAUCCCAUUUUAUUUACCCUGCAUCCUAACAUUCAAGCAUCAACAAUCAGAGCACUACAUAUUUUGUGUGCCUGAUAAAGUUUAAAUAGACAUUUGGUACAUUAACUAAGGUGGCUGUCGCUUUCAUUAGUACUGAUAAACUAAUUCUACCACUCAUUUCUGUAUCAUGACAGACAAAAGGAUCGCUUACUUAUAUCUCAUUCACUAAGUCUUCCCCUUAAUAGUCAAUUACUGCUUCUGUUUAUGCAACACCCAUUCCUAAUUUUGUAACCUGAUUGUUUCUAGCCAUUUGUAGCCAGUAUACAAAAUAUUAUUUCCGUUGCCAGAGAUUUGUGAUUAACUGCUAAGUGCCAUUUAUCAACUUAUUCCUGAUAGGAUUAUGCUUGAACCUUAGAUUAAGAUUAAAAGGUCCUUGAUAGAAUAUAGUUAUUACUUGGGAGUAUAUGUAUAUGUUUCUACCUCCCUCGAUUUUGGUUACAUAAGCGUCAAGCGACUCAGAAUGCCCUAAUUAGCAUGGAGGAAAUCUGCUAUUUACGUAGAUAUUUUGGCUCAGAAGCUUUACUAAUUAACAUCAACAGAAGGUACUUGUUACAUGUGCACAAAAGUGCAACAUCUGCUAUUUUAGACAUGAGAAAUAAGAUUCCUUGACUGUGGAACCACUGUGUUAUUAAUGCUAUGUACACAAAUCAACCAUGCAAAGCCACUUUUAAACAGUCACAAUCAUGUUGAGCCCGUCUCCCACAGUGUCAUUUUUGGUCGAAAGGCAUUGUAUAAGUUAAAUACAUUAAACCACUUCUUAGAUUUAGUACUAGGUACUAGAAAUGGUACUAGAAGCAGUACUAGUAUCAGGCCAGAAAAAAUACUCAAUAUUUAGGUGUCUUAGUAGUCAAACGAUACAUUUAAUUUUUUUAAGCUUGAAAACCAAAGAAGGUUCCCAGUGCUUAAACUAUCCUUUGUAAUGAAUAAGCAAAAUAGUCUGAAAGAUUAAUUUAAAUUCUCAUGUGGAACUAUUAUGAUUCCAUAUUGGUUAGCACAAUUUAUUUUCUAACACUUUAAAGUUACAUCCAAAUAUUCAUUGUUGUAUUGACAGCUAUGCUGUGUAAAAGCUUAAAACUUUCAGAGUUGCUACUUGUAGGUCCCAAUUACAAGUUUUAGGGGACUUUUUAUGUAUUGUCUUUAAAACUUGUACAAUUUGUUCAAACUGUGGUAUAACCAAUACUGCUCAGAUCAAAUUAUUUUGUUAAUGUAUUUCAGGGUUAACUUGACACUGUGUUUAAAUUUUAAUUUGAUAGUAUGUAUUUUUUCAUCAGUGUAAUUGAAUUAUAUAAAUCUGGAGUAACUUGUAAGAGAAAUGUGUACAAAUAAAAUCUAUUGCUUAUGUGAGAUUA